GGAAAGGGCCAUAUCUUAGUGGCAGAGCAUCUGGUCUGCAUUCAGAAGGUUCCAGGUUCAAUCCUUGGCUUCUCCA